ensembl:snRNA U2 U2 spliceosomal RNA
AUUGCUUCUCGGCCUUUUGGCUAAGAUCAAGUGUAGUAUAUGUUCUUAUCAGUUUAAUAUCUGAUACAUCCUUGAUGAGAAGACUUUAUUUUAAAUGGGUUUGCCCAUGGGAGUUGGACCUGGCAUUUGCUCCCUCUGCUCUGUGGAUUGUCCCAGUACUGCAGUGCCUCCAGGAACGGUGCACCAUUU